rnacentral:rRNA from 1 species
UAAGGAAUAUUGGACAAUGGAGGCAACUCUGAUCCAGCCAUGCCGCGUGAAGGAAUAAGGCCCUAUGGGUUGUAAACUUCUUUUAGACGGGACAAAACCCCUUUACGUGUAAAGGGUUGAUGGUACUGUCAGAAUAAGCAUCGGCUAACUUCGUGCCAGCAGCCGCGGUAAUACGAAGGAUGCAAGCGUUAUCCGGAAUUAUUGGGUUUAAAGGGUGCGAAGGCGGACUAAUAAGUCAGUAGUGAAAGCCUGCAGCUUAACUGCAGAAUUGCCAUUGAUACUGUUAGUCUUGAGUACAGUUGAGGUAGGCGGAAUGUGUCAUGUAGCGGUGAAAUGCUUAGAUAUGACACAGAACACCGAUUGCGAAGGCAGCUUGCUAAGCUGUAACUGACGCUGAGGCACGAAAGCGUGGGGAGCAAACA